rnacentral:rRNA from 1 species
UACGUAGGCAGCGAGCGUUGUUCGGAGUUACUGGGCGUAAAGGGUGUGUAGGCGGUUGUUUAAGUUUGGUGUGAAAUCUCCCGGCUCAACCGGGAGGGUGCGCGGAAAACUGGCGGGCUAGAGUAGGUGAUGGGAGAGUAGAAUUCCUGGUGUAGCGGUGAAAUGCGUAGAUAUCGUAAGGAAGACCAGUGGCGAAGGCGGGUCUCUGGACAGUUCCUGACGCUGAGGCACGAAGGUCAGGGGAGCAAACGGG